AUGGGGGAAACCCUGNAUGCAGCGACGCCGCGCUGGAGGAAGAAGGUCUUCGCGAUUGUAAACUCCUGUUGUUGAGGAAGAUAAUGACGGUACNCAACAAGGNAAGUGACGGCUAACUACNUGCCAGCAGCCGCGGUAAAACGUAGGUCACAAGCGUUGUCCGGAAUUACUGGGUGUAAAGGGAGCGCAGGCGGGAGAACAAGUUGGAAGUGAAAUCCAUGGGCUCNACCCAUGAACUGCUUUCAAAACUGUUUUUCUUGAGUAGUGNAGAGGUAGGCGGAAUUCCCGGUGUAGCGGUGGAAUGCGUAGAUAUCGGGAGGAACACCAGUGGCGAAGGCGGCCUACUGGGCACCAACUGACGCUGAGGCUCGAAAGUGUGGGUAGCAAACAGGAUUAGAUACCCGGGUAGUCCAAGGGCGAAUUC
rnacentral:rRNA from 1 species